UGCAAUUUAGAGAAAAUUGCAACUUUUGGCCCAAAGGUUUGAAUAAUUAAAUUCAAACCUAUAGUUUUUUUUAAUAUAAUUUUGGGACUCACAAUCCCAUUUUUAUAUUAUUUUUCUCUCUUCCUCUCACGUUGCUCGGCGUGUUCUCGCAAGGGGGGAUUAUUUUCUUUUUCUUCAGAUUAUAUUGACAAAGAUAGCGGUGAAAAAGGAGUUGUGAAGGGGAACUUGUUAUUCAAGACACAAGGAGCGAGUCCGGCCGAGAAAGCACCAGAGGUGUAACUGUGGUGUAUGAGACACCAUCUUUUAUGUUGCCUCUUAUUUUAGAUUAUACAAUGUAUCUUGUGCCAACUUAGGACAUAUCUUCUUUGUGAAGCAUGUAAACUCUAAUCCUUUUUAUU